rnacentral:rRNA from 1 species
AACGCUAGCGGCAGGCUUAAUACAUGCAAGUCGAGGGGCAGCACAUGAGUAGCAAUACGAUGGUGGCGACCGGCGCACGGGUGCGUAACGCGUAUGCAAUCUACCUUUAACAGAGGGAUAGCCCCGAGAAAUCGGGAUUAAUACCUCAUAAAAUUUUCACAUGGCAUCAUGAGAGAAUCAAAGCUGAGGCGGUUAAAGAUGAGCAUGCGUGACAUUAGCUAGUUGGAGAGGUAACGGCUCACCAAGGCGACGAUGUCUAGGGGUUCUGAGAGGAUGAUCCCCCACACUGGUACUGAGACACGGACCAGACUCCUACGGGAGGCAGCAGUAAGGAAUAUUGGUCAAUGGGCGGGAGCCUGAACCAGCCAUGCCGCGUGCAGGAAGACGGCCUUAUGGGUUGUAAACUGCUCUUAUCGGGGAAUAAAACUUUCUACGAGUGGAGAGCUGAAGGUACCCGAAGAAUAAGCAUCGGCUAACUCCGUG